rnacentral:rRNA from 1 species
CCUACGGGUGGCAGCAGUGAGGAAUAUUGGUCAAUGGACGCAAGUCUGAACCAGCCAUGCCGCGUGCAGGAAGACGGCCCUAUGAGUUGUAAACUGCUUUUGUACGGGGGUAAACGCAGAUACGCGUACCUGUCUGAAAGUAUUGUACGAAUAAGGAUCGGCUAACUCCGUGCCAGCAGCCGCGGUAAUACGGAGGAUUCAAGCGUUAUCCGGAUUUAUUGGGUUUAAAGGGUGCGUAGUUGGUCUGAUAAGUUAGAUGUGAAAUCCUGAGGCUCAACCGUGAAAUUGCCAUUGAUACUGUCAGGCUAGAGAGUAGUUGCGGUAGGCGGAAUGUAUGGUGUAGCGGUGAAAUGCUUAGAGAUCAUACAGAACACCGAUUGCGAAGGCAGCUUACUAAGCUACUACUGACGUUGAUGCACGAAAGUGUGGGGAGCAAACAGGAUUAGAUACCCUUGUAGUC